CAGAUAGCUCAGUCGGUAGAGCAGGGGACUGAAAAUCCCCGUGUCGGUGGU
rnacentral:tRNA from 14 species